rnacentral:rRNA from 1 species
UACGGGGGGGGCAAGCGUUGUUCGGAAUUACUGGGCGUAAAGGGCGCGUAGGCGGCCUGUUAAGUCGGACGUGAAAUCCCUCGGCUCAACCGGGGAACUGCGUCCGAUACUGGCGGGCUUGAAUUCGGGAGAGGGAUGUGGAAUUCCAGGUGUAGCGGUGAAAUGCGUAGAUAUCGGAAGGAACACCGGUGGCGAAGGCGGGUCUCUGGGCCGAUACUGACGCUGAGGAGCGAAAGCGUGGGGAGCGAACAGG